rfam:Asian citrus Psyllid, Diaphorina citri - Florida Strain, whole genome shotgun sequence.
GUUCCCAUGGCGUAGUGGUCACUGCGCUCGCCUUUCACGCGGGGGACCCGGGUUCGAUUCCCGGCGGGGUCA